GAGACAGCAGUCGCCGCGGUAAUACGAAGGUCCCGAGCGUUGUUCGGGAUCACUGGGCGUAAAGGGAGCGUAGGCGGCGUGGUAAGUCAGAUGUGAAAUCCCGGGGCUCAACCCCGGAACUGCAUCCGAUACUGCUGUGCUAGAGGAUUGGAGAGGUAGCUGGAAUUCUUGGUGUAGCAGUGAAAUGCGUGGAGAUCAAGAGGAACACUCGUGGCGAAAGCGAGCUACUGGACAAUAUCUGACGCUGAGGCUCGAAGGCCAGGGUAGCGAAAGGGAUUAGAUACCCCCGUAGUCCCUGUCUCUUAUAC
rnacentral:rRNA from 1 species